CCUUUCCAAUUCAAUUUUCUAUUUUGAACCUUCAUUUUGUUGCUUUUGUUUUACAGCCCUGUGUCCCAACCCUGACAUUAUCUCUGCUGUUGCGUUAUAAAUUGAUCCCUCCAUGUGUUACCUGAGCCACUAACUCAUCCUAGUAGUGGUGCAAUUCAACCAGUUCUAUCUGGCUUGGGCAAACUGGUAGGCUUCGCCCACCCACGCGGACGUCAUCAUGUCCCAUUUUUUAUGCUCUGCGUAUGCGCGGAAGGUCCUAUGCAUGCACGGAGAUGUCACAUGCGACCGAAACGAGAACGUGUGCAUGCGCUCACAUUUGUGAACUGGUAAUGAAGAAUCAAGGACAAAUUUAAAACGAAUUCCAUUUUAUGCAUUGCAAGUGACUGCCUAGUGCCUUUACAACGCCUUGUUCUAACUGAUUUAUUACUCUAUAUCAGGCCUUUUCGGGCAACAGAACCUAUUAGUUAAAUAAUAAUAAUAAUUCCCCAUGAAGCACUACCUUGGUCUGGUUGAGGGACUUGCAUGCUCUUAGGAGGGCGAGAGCUAUUCCAGAAUAUUUAACCAUACUGGGCAGAUCUUAUCAGAGGAGCCAGAGAUAAAAGCCUCUUUCAUAAACAAGGAAAUUUCUCAAAUAGCAGAACAAAAGAUCAGCUCUUAAUUAACAAGAUGAUUUUGGAAAACUGCAAGAAGAGGAAGACCAACUUGAAUAUAACUUGGAUUCAACUCCCUACCAUGUGAUUGGAUAAUCAACCAC